CCGAUACUUUAUUUACACAAGUAGAGAACGAACCCCUCUCAUAAACCGGACACUGCUUCAUUAUUAGAGGGCGUGGCCCUCCUUCAACUUCAGCCCGAUACUGAGAGGGAUACAGAGGACAUACUCUGAGUGUGACACACUCUCAUAGAAGGAAAAGGACACGGAGGUAUUAACGGGUGCGGCCCACUCGUGAUAUCAGCCG